AGGGGCAGCAUGGUGUAGCAAUACACUGAUGGCGACCGGCAAACGGGUGCGGAACACGUACGCAACCUUCCCAAAACUGGUGAAUAGCCCUCCGAAAGGAGGAUUAAUACACCGUAACAUAUAGAUGUGGCAUCACAACUAUAUUAUAGUUUUAAUGGUUUUGGAUGGGCGUGCGCCUGAUUAGGUAGUUGGCGGGGUAACGGCCCACCAAGCCUGCGAUCAGUAACUGGUGUGAGAGCACGACCAGUCACACGGGCACUGAGACACGGGCCCGACUCCUACGGGAGGCAGCAGUAAGGAAUAUUGGUCAAUGGACGAAAGUCUGAACCAGCCAUGCCGCGUGAAGGAUGAAGGUCCUCUGGAUUGUAAACUUCUUUUAUCUGGGACGAAAAAAGGGAAUUCUUUCUCACUUGACGGUACCAGAGGAAUAAGCACCGGCUAACUCCGUGCCAGCAGCCGCGGUAAUACGGAGGGUGCAAGCGUUAUCCGGAUUCACUGGGUUUAAAGGGAGCGUAGGUGGGCAGGUAAGUCAGUGGUGAAAUCUCUGGGCUUAACCCGGAAACUGCCAUUGAUACUAUUUGUCUUGAAUAUUCUGGAGGUAAGCGGAAUAUGUCAUGUAGCGGUGAAAUGCUUAGAUAUGACAUAGAACACCAAUUGCGAAGGCAGCUUGCUACGGAAUUAUUGACACUGAGGCUCGAAAGCGUGGGGAUCAAA
rnacentral:rRNA from 1 species